GGANGNCAUUAUCGUAACAACGGAGGUGCGAGGGCUGUCGCUGACCUUUCAAAGGUCGUGCACGCCCNAGCGCUUUCACACAAUCCAUCUCACCCCCUUUGUGCAUCACCGCGUGGGUCCCCUUUGCGGGAGGGCUUGCGUUUUCACAUAAAAACAUUUUGAUAGUGUAGAAUGUCCUUUUGCGGUCACACGCAAUCAAUACAACUUUCAACAACGGAUCUCUUGGCUCUCGCAUCGAUGAAGAACGCAGCGAAAUGCGAUACGUAAUGUGAAUUGCAGAAUUCAGUGAAUCAUCGAAUCUUUGAACGCACCUUGCGCCCCUUGGCAUUCCGAGGGGCACACCCGUUUGAGUGUCGUGAAAUCUUCAAAAAACCCCUUUUCNCNNAANGAAAGGGANUUUUUUU
rnacentral:misc_RNA from 1 species